UAGGGAAUAUUGGACAAUGGGCGCAAGACUGAUCCAGCCAUGCCGCGUGCAGGAAGAAGGCCUUCUGGGUCGUAAACUGCUUUUCUCUGGGGAUAAAAGACCCGUGCGCGGGGAAUUGAAGGUACCAGAGGAAUAAGCCACGGCUAACUACGUGCCAGCAGCCGCGGUAAUACGUAGGUGGCAAGCGUUGUCCGGAUUUAUUGGGUUUAAAGGGUGCGUAGGCGGUUCCAUAAGUCAGUGGUGAAAUACGGCAGCUCAACUGUCGAGGUGCCAUUGAUACUGCGGAACUUGAGUACUGAUGAGGCAGGCGGAAUUGACGGUGUAGCGGUGAAAUGCUUAGAUAUCGUCAAGAACACCGAUAGCGAAGGCAGCUUACCAAGCAGUAACUGACGCUCAGGCACGAAAGUGCGGGGAUCAAACAGGAUUAGAUACCCGUGUAGUCC
rnacentral:rRNA from 1 species